rnacentral:rRNA from 1 species
GACGAACGCUGGCGGCGUGCUUAACACAUGCAAGUCGAACGAAGUGGCGCACGGGUUAGUAAAGAGUAAUCAACCUGCCCUUCAGAGGGGUACAACAGUUGGAAACGACUGCUAAUACCGCAUACUGAAGGAGGGGAUUGCGUGUGAUUAGCUAGUUGGGGGGGUAACGGCCCACCAAGGCGAUGAUCAGUAGCCGGUAUUGGAGGAUGAACAGCCAAAUUGGGACUGAGACACGGCCCAGUCUCCUACGGGAGGCAGCAGGGGGGAAACUUCCGAAAUGGACGAAAGUCUUACGGAGCAACGCCGCGGGAGUGAUGACGGCCUUCGGGUUGUAAAGCUCUGUUAAUCGGGACGCGGUACCGGAAGAGAAAGCCACGGCUAACUACGCGCCAGCCGCCGCGGUAAUUC